rnacentral:rRNA from 1 species
AGAGUUUGAUCCUGGCUCAGAUUGAACGCUGGCGGCAUGCUUUACACAUGCAAGUCGAACGGCAGCACGGACUUCGGUCUGGUGGCGAGUGGCGAACGGGUGAGUAAUACAUCGGAACGUACCCAGUAAUGGGGGAUAACUAGUCGAAAGAUUAGCUAAUACCGCAUACGCCCUACGGGGGAAAGAGGGGGAUCGCAAGACCUCUUGUUAUUGGAGCGGCCGAUGGCUGAUUAGCUAGUUGGUGGGGUAAAGGCCUACCAAGGCGACGAUCAGUAGC